UCCGGCAACUUCCGGGCGGCGGAGCUCUGCCCCUCCUUUCUUUUCUCUAGGUCAGGUCUCCUUCUGGCUGCGCUGGACCUGCGCACGCGGGGGACUUCUGCGUCCGGCCCUCCAGCCUCCCGCAGCGUCCCGCAGCGCCCUGGCGGGCAGCAGCCUAGGUGGUAGCGGCGCGCUUGGUGCUCGGCGCCAGCACCUGCUACUGCCAUCUACAGGCUGAGGCGGGGCCCGCGGCGAGGCGGCCGGGGGCAUCGGCUGAGCCCCUCUGGAUCUGCAGGCUCUGUUACUGUCAAGGUCCCAUCUUCUCCUCAAACCUAUUUACAGUUAUCAGGAAAAGAGGUUGAUAUGAACCCAGAAGUCAAUGUUCAGGAAGUGGCUGAAGAUGAUAAAGAUGAUGGUGUAACAAUUAUUGGCCACAUGAAUCAAGCAAAGAGAUGUGAAAACUGGAUUAAUGCUACUGCCCCAGAAAGCAUUGUACGUUUCAGAAAUCAAACCUGGUUUCAGUCCCUGAAACUGCAGAACUAAAGCAUUUGAGUUCUUAUUUAUGUUUGUA